rnacentral:rRNA from 1 species
AUUGAACGCUGGCGGCAGGCCUAACACAUGCAAGUCGAGCGAGCGGCGGACGGGUGAGUAAUUUCUGGGAAACUGCCUGAUGGAGGGGGAUAACUACUUGAAACGGUAGCUAAUACCGCAUACCAUCAGAUGUGCUCAGAUGGGAUUCGCUAGUAGGUGGGGGAACGGCUCACCUAGGCGACGACCCCUAGCUGGUCUGAGAGGAUGACCAGCCAGACUGGAACGGAGACACGGUCCAGACUCCUACGGGAGGCAGCAGUGGGGAAUAUUGCACAAUGGGCGCAAGCCUGAUGCAGCCAUGCCGCGUAUAUGAAGAAGGCCUUCGAGUUGUAAAGCACUUUCAGCGAGGAGGCGUUACUCGCAGAAGAAGCACCGGCUAACUCCGUGCCAGCAGCCGCGGUAAUAC